GCCAGUGUGAUGUAGUGGUUUAGAAUUUAGGAUUAUGAAUCUGGAGACCAGGGUUUGAAUCCCUACUCAGCCA